UCCCAUUCAGGGUGUGUAAAUCCAGGAGGCCAAUGCCUCUCUGAGUGCUGUUACUUCCUGUAGGGCCACCUUGCUCUAUUAGUGGAUGCCAAACUUAAUAAUUGCUUACAUCUGAGGAUUCUCCAACAGAGGUUCCUUGACAAGGCUUGCUGAAGAGCAUUGCAAACUGUUACAAGGGCACCAUUUCAUUCCUGUUCAGCAAUCAGUUUGAGCCACAGAAGCUGAUUUGUUUCAUUUAAUCUUUGAGAUCUGGGCCGGGUUUUGCACAUUUUAGCACAAUCUUUGCCAGUCUCAGGCUGAAGAAGAUUUUCUCAAGGCCAGGAUUGUUUCUCAUUCAGCAAAGCUAUCAGAUAUAUUUCAAUUUUCCUGCUCUUUGCACACGACAUAGUAAAUUUUCAGUAUCAAGUUCCACUCAACCCUAAAGCUCAUGGAAUAUUCUAAACACCUGGAUAGUGUUACUGAGUGUUGUACAGAUGGCAACAUGGGGAACAUCCAGUACAUGGGAAAGUGAAGGCUUCCUUUUGCUAGUACAGAAGAAUUUAAUUUCCAUUUUCCCCAUUUUUGCUGUACUGCGUGUAGGGCUUUAAUUCAUUCAAAGCCUUACUUUUUUUUUUUUUUUUUUUUUUUUUUUACUGAGGCUUCCAACAGCUAUGACACUAUGACAUACCGACAUACCAUAAUUACUAAAUAAAGCCUAAGUGUCUUGGAGUCCUCUUAUCCAAGCUAUAUAUUUUUAUGUUCAGUACAGGCAACUGUGAGCACAACAUGGGUAAUUAUACAUUCAGUUUGAAAUGUCCCAGUAUUUACUCUGUCAUUCCUGCAUGGAAUUAUUCAGUGGUAAAUCCAAUAUGAGAUUGCAAGUAGCAUCUGCAAUUAUUUUAUUUAUUUGUAUUUCUCUAUACAGAAAAGCUAACCCAAAAUGUCAUUCAUAAACAUGGUGCUAAAUCAUGCCUUGGCAAUUUGUUUCUUACAGACAGACCAUC